rnacentral:rRNA from 1 species
CCUACGGGAGGCAGCAGUGAGGAAUAUUGGUCAAUGGACGAGAGUCUGAACCAGCCAAGUAGCGUGAAGGAUGACUGCCCUAUGGGUUGUAAACUUCUUUUAUAUGGGAAUAAAAUGUUCCACGUGUGGGAUUUUGUAUGUACCAUAUGAAUAAGGACCGGCUAACUCCGUGCCAGCAGCCGAGGUAAUACGGAGGAUCCGAGCGUUAUCCGGAUUUAUUGGGUUUAAAGGGAGCGUAGGUGGAUUGUUAAGUCAGUUGUGAAAGUUUGCGGCUCAACCGUAAAAUUGCAGUUGAAACUGGCAGUCUUGAGUGCAGUAGAGGUGGGCGGAAUUCGUGGUGUAGCGGUGAAAUGCUUAGAUAUCACGAAGAACUCCGAUUGCGAAGGCAGUUCACUGGACUGCAACUGACACUGAGGCUCGAAAGUGUGGGUAUCAAACAGGAUUAGAUACCCGAGUAGUC